AGGUGGUUUGUCACGUCGUCUGUGAAAUUCCACAGCUUAACUGUGGGCGUGCAGGCGAUACGGGCUGACUUGAGUACUGUAGGGGUAACUGGAAUUCCUGGUGUGGCGGUGAAAUGCGCAGAUAUCAGGAGGAACACCGAUGGCGAAGGCAGGUUACUGGGCAGUUACUGACGCUGAGGAGCGAAAGCAUGGGUAGCAAACAGGAUUAGAUACCCUGGUAGUCAAGGGCG
rnacentral:rRNA from 1 species